rnacentral:rRNA from 1 species
CCUACGGGGCGCAGCAGUGGGGAAUAUUGCACAAUGGGGGGAACCCUGAUGCAGCGACGCCGCGUGAGUGAAGAAGUAUUUCGGUAUGUAAAGCUCUGUCAGCAGGGAAGAAGAAAGACGGUACCUGACCAAGAAGCCCCGGCUAACUACGUGCCAGCAGCCGCGGUAAUACGUAGGGGGCAAGCGUUAUCCGGAUUUACUGGGUGUAAAGGGAGCGUAGACGGUGUGGCAAGUCUGAAGUGAAAGCCCGGGGCUCAACCCCGGGACUGCUUUGGAAACUGUCAUGCUGGAGUGCUGGAGUGGUA